UACGUAGGAGGCAAGCGUUGUCCGGAAUUACUGGGCGUAAAGCGCGUGUAGGUGGUGGGACAAGUCUGCUGUGAAAGCGCCUGGCUUAACCGGGCGAGGUCGGCGGAAACUGUUCGACUCGAGGACGGUAGAGGGGGGCGGAAUUCCCGGUGUAGUGGUGAAAUGCGUAGAGAUCGGGAGGAACACCUGUGGCGAAGGCGGCCCCCUGGGCCGGCCCUGACACUGAGACGCGAAGGCGUGGGGAGCGAACGGG
rnacentral:rRNA from 1 species